UAGAGUUUGAUCCUGGCUCAGGAUGACCGUUAGCGGCAGGCUUAACACAUGCAAGUCGAGGGGUAUAUAGUUUUCGGAUUAUAGAGACCGGCAAACGGGUGCGGAACACGUACGCAAUCUGCCUCUGUCUUGGGGAUAGCCCAUAGAAAUGUGGAUUAAUACCCAAUAGUAUUAUAGAGUGGCAUCACUUAGUAAUUAAAGAUUUAUUGGACAGAGAUGAGCGUGCGUCCCAUUAGCUAGUUGGUGCGGUAACGGCGUACCAAGGCGACGAUGGGUAGCUGGUGUGAGAGCACGACCAGCCACACGGGCACUGAGACACGGGCCCGACUCCUACGGGAGGCAGCAGUGAGGAAUAUUGGUCAAUGGGCGGAAGCCUGAACCAGCCAUGCCGCGUGAAGGAUGAAGGCGUUCUGCGUUGUAAACUUCUUUUAUUUGGGAAGAAAAUUGUGGUUUCUACUGCAACCGACGGUACCAGAUGAAUAAGCACCGGCUAACUCCGUGCCAGCAGCCGCGGUAAUA
rnacentral:rRNA from 1 species